GACGAACGCUGGCGGCGUGCUUAACACAUGCAAGUCGAACGGAAAGGCCCUGCUUUUGUGGGGUGCUCGAGUGGCGAACGGGUGAGUAACACGUGAGUAACCUGCCCUUGACUUUGGGAUAACUUCAGGAAACUGGGGCUAAUACCGGAUAGGAGCUCCUGCUGCAUGGUGGGGGUUGGAAAGUUUCGGCGGUGGGGGAUGGACUCGCGGCCUAUCAGCUUGUUGGUGGGGUAGUGGCUUACCAAGGCUUUGACGGGUAGCCGGCCUGAGAGGGUGACCGGCCACAUUGGGACUGAGAUACGGCCCAGACUCCUACGGGAGGCAGCAGUGGGGAAUAUUGCACAAUGGGCGGAAGCCUGAUGCAGCAACGCCGCGUGCGGGAUGACGGCCUUCGGGUUGUAAACCGCUUUCGCCUGUGACGAAGCGUGAGUGACGGUAAUGGGUAAAGAAGCACCGGCUAACUACGUG
rnacentral:rRNA from 1 species